rnacentral:rRNA from 1 species
GACGAACGCUGGCGGCGUGCUUAACACAUGCAAGUCGAACGGAAAGGCGCUGAUCUUGCGGGGUGCUCGAGUGGCGAACGGGUGAGUAACACGUGAGUAACCUGCACUUGACUUUGGGGUAACUUCAGGAAACUGGGGCUCAUACCGGAUAGGAGCUCCUGCUGCAUGGUGGGCGAUGGAAAGUUUCGGCGUUUGUGGCUGGACUCGCGGCUUAUCCGCUUGAUGGUGGGGUAGUGGCUUACCAAGGCUUUGACGGGUAGGCGGCCUGAGAGGGUGGACGGGGACAAUGGGACUGCGAGACGGCCCAGUCUCCUACGGUAGGCAGUAGGGGAGAAUAUUGCAGAGUGGGCGGAAGCCUGAUGCAGCAACGCCGCGUGCGUGAUGACGUCUUUCGGGGUGUAAACCGCUGUCUCCGGUGACGAAGCGUGAGUGACGGUAAUUGGUAAAGAAGCACCGGCUAACUACGUG